CUAGGGGUAAACGUUCAAAAAUCUGCUGCAGAGGGGGACAACCAGGCUGACCUGCGAUCGACAGAAGGUCGCAAUGUGUCCUCUGAAACACUACCGGCUGUCAACUUGGGAAGUGAUGAUACUUCCUCUCAGAGACGCACAGAACAGAGCAGUGUAAACCAGCCGUCUCAGAGCAU